ensembl:lncRNA
AUGCUUUCCAGCGAUGCACUCAUAACUCUGUGCUUUUUCUCACUCGAUCUGUCUCUCUCAGUUGUGUGGCAACAUCUACAAAGGCUUGGCGCAGACCGGAGCCUGGGGCUGCUUCAACGAGUUCAACAGGAUCUCGGUGGAGGUGCUUUCAUUGAAGGCAGUGCAGGUCAAAAGUAUUCAAGAUGCCAUUUGAGACA